CAAUAGCGUAUAUUAAAGUUGUUGCAGUUAGAACGCUCGUAGUCGGAUUUCGGGGCGGGCCGACCGGUCUGCCGAUGGGUAUGCACUGGUCGGCGCGUCCUUCCUUCCGGAGACCGUCCCUACUCUUAACUGAGCGGGGGCGGGAGACGGGACUUUUACUUUGAAAAAAUCAGAGUGUUUCAAGCAGGCAGCUCGCUCUUGCAUGGAUUAGCAUGGGAUAAUGAAAUAGGACUUUGGUGCUAUUUUGUUGGUUUCGAACACCGAAGUAAUGAUGAGAAGGGACAGUCAGGGGCACUCGUAUUCCGCCGAGAGAGGUGAAAUUCUCAGACCAGCGGAAGACGAACCACUGCGAAANCANNNGCGAGGGAUGUUUUCACNGA
rnacentral:rRNA from 1 species